rnacentral:rRNA from 1 species
GCAGCAGGCGCGAAACUUACCCACUCGAGACUUUCGGAGGAGGUAAUGACCAGUUUCAUGUGAAGCUUAUGCUUCUGUGAAUAGGAUCACACUUUUCCAGUGUGGUGAAACCUAGCAGAGGGCCAGUCUAGUGCCAGCAGCUGCGGUAAUUCCAGCUCUGCGAGUUUGCUCCCAUAUUGUUGCAGUUAAAACGCCCGUAGUCGGAAUUGGACAGCAGUGUCCCUACGUUUCAACGUUCACUGUGAACAAAUCAGGACGCUUAGAGUAUGGUAACAAGAAUGACUCAGCGCAGUAUGAAGUCUUUGUUUCUUUCGGGAAACAAGCUCAAUGAGAGCCAUCGGGGGUGGAUCUAUUUCAUGGCGAGUGGUGGAAUACUUCGACCCAUGAGAGAGACACGGAGGCGAAGGCGUCCACCUAGAGGGUUUCUGUCGAUCAAGGGCGAGAGUAGGAGUAUCCAACCGGAUUAGAGACCCGGGUAGUUCCUACUGUAAACGAUGCCGACAGAGGUUUGUCAUUUUAUAAUGGCAGAACUUUUAGAGAAAUCAUAGUUCUUGGGCUCUGGGGGAACUACGACCGCAAGGCUGAAACUUGAAGGAAUUGACGGAAGGGCACACCCGGGGUGGAGCCUGUGGCUUAAUUUGAAUCAACACGGGGAAACUUACCAGGACCAGAUGUUUUUUAUGACUGACAGGCUUCGGGUCUUUCAGGAUAUUGCUUUUGGUGGCGCAUGGCCGUUGGUGGUGCGUGGGUUGACCUGUCUAGCGUUGAUUCAGCUAACGAGCGAGAUUAUCGCCAAUUAUAUACCUCGCAUUGGCUUCAGUGUUGAGGUUCUAAUUGGGACUCCCUGCGAUUUUAGCAGGCGGAAGAGGGUAGCAAUAACAGGUCCGUGAUGUCC